rnacentral:rRNA from 1 species
UACAGAGGUCUCAAGCGUUGUUCGGAUUCAUUGGGCGUAAAGGGUGCGUAGGUGGCGCGUUAAGUCAGGUGUGAAAUUUCGGAGCUUAACUCCGAAACUGCAUUUGAUACUGGCGUGCUUGGGGACUGGAGAGGAGACUGGAAUUCAUGGUGUAGCAGUGAAAUGCGUAGAGAUCAUGAGGAAGACCAGUGGCGAAGGCGGGUCUCUGGACAGUUCCUGACACUGAGGCACGAAGGCCAGGGGGGCAAACGGG